rnacentral:rRNA from 1 species
CGGGCCCCUAGAGCGGCGGACGGGUGAGUAACACGUGGACAAUCUGCCCCCCGGUCGGGGAUAGCCCAUGGAAACAUGGGGUAAUACCGGAUGCGACCGGCCGCGCACAAGCGCGGGCGAGGAAAGGCGCCAAGGCGCCGCCGGGGGAUGAGUCCGCGGUCCAUUAGCUAGUUGGCGGGGUAACGGCCCACCAAGGCUGCGAUGGAUAGCCGGCCUGAGAGGGCGAACGGCCACAUUGGGACUGAGACACGGCCCAGACUCCUACGGGAGGCAGCAGCUAAGAAUCUUCCGCAAUGGGCGAAAGCCUGACGGAGCGACGCCGCGUGGAGGAUGAAGGCGUUAUACGUUGUAAACUUCUUUUACAGGGGAAGAUAAUGACUGUACCCUGUGAAUAAGCAUAGGCUAAUUACGUGCCAGCAGCCGCGGUAAGACGUAAUAUGCAAGCGUUAUUCGGAAUUACUGGGCGUAAAGGGUGCGUAGGCGGUCAAAUAAGUCGGAUGUGAAAUCCUACGGCUCAACCGUAGAAUUGCGUUCGAAACUGCUUGACUAGAAUCAGAGAAGGGAAGGCGGAAUUCCUGGUGUAGGAGUGAAAUCUAUAGAUAUCAGGAAGAACACCGGUGGCGAAGGCGGCCUUCUGGCUUAUGAUUGACGCUGAGGCACGAAAGUGUGGGGAGCGAACGGGAUUAGAUACCCCGGUAGUCCACACUGUAAACGUUGUACACUAGGUGUUAGUGGUAUCGAUCCCACUAGUGCCGUAGCUAACGCAUUAAGUGUACCGCCUGGGGAGUAUGCCCGCAAGGGUGAAACUCAAAGGAAUUGACGGGGGCCCGCACAAGUGGUGGAGCAUGUGGUUUAAUU